CCGUUCAGGGGUAAACCUGAGAAACCCAAAAGAUCGAAUGGGGAGAUUCAUCGUCAACGGCGCUGGCUCCCGUUGGUGCGCGAUGCCCCGAAUGGGCCCUUGUGGUUCCAUUGCGAGGGCACACCACCUUCGGCUUGAAUGUUCCGGUGCCGUAGUCGUGCACUUCUCCCUUAGUAGAACGUCGCGACCCGUUGUGUGUCGGUCUACGGCCCGAGCGGGCGCCUGUCGCGUCGCCUUGCGCGCACGCGWCAGACCCUCGGUCGCCUGGCCGGCUGCACGACGGUACUCCCACGGUAUCGGGCCRCAACCAAUCCAUUCUCGAAUGUGUGUGCGUCAGGCCCGCCGCAAGCUCGGUCAGUUCUUACCCGGUGGUACGGACCUGAUGCCGUCCCCGGGCCUGACCAGCUGUUAGCAGGCGGUGUCCUCGGACUGGCCAAGCUUUGAAUUACCGGUCGGCGACGCUACUGCUUUGGGUACUCUCAGGACCCGUCUUGAAACACGGACCAAGGAGUCUAACAYGUGCGCGAGUCAUUGGGAUGCAUAAACCUAAAGGCGAAAUGAAAGUGAAGGUCGUCYUUUGCGUCGACCGAGGGAGGAUG
rnacentral:rRNA from 1 species